GUUCGGCAGAGGGUGGUGCUGGAGAACAAAACCACAGCGUCUGAAUACUGCAAGGAUUUUUACAGUGAAGUAGAAGAAUUUAACAGAUGACAGAUUGACAAGAAACUGACAAAAGAAGGGAGACCAUUUAAUAGGGAUAUUCAUCCCAGGCCCUCUAGAGAUGUGAAGAGAUGAUGCCACCAUAGAGGACUUCUAGAUGUAUCCAUACUCCUGGACCAGACCGUAUCAUGAGCAGAUGCAAUGGUGGUCAUGGAGAAGUGGAGAGCAUGAGACUGAUUAAUGAAAGACCCAAGUGACAGAUGAGUGCCCGCAUUGAUCCUGUGGUCCAGCCUGAAAACUUGCUGGUGACCUACUCAC